CCUACGGGUGGCUGCAGUCGAGAAUCAUUCACAAUGGGGGAAACCCUGAUGGUGCGACGCCGCGUGGGGGAAUGAAGGUCUUCGGAUUGUAAACCCCUGUCAUGUGGGAGCAAAUUAAAAAGAUAGUACCACAAGAGGAAGAGACGGCUAACUCUGUGCCAGCAGCCGCGGUAAUACAGAGGUCUCAAGCGUUGUUCGGAAUCACUGGGCGUAAGGCGUGCGUAGGCUGUUUCGUAAGUCGUGUGUGAAAGGCGCGGGCUCAACCCGCGGACGGCACAUGAUACUGCGAGACUAGAGUAAUGGAGGGGGAACCGGAAUUCUCGGUGUAGCAGUGAAAUGCGUAGAUAGCGAGAGGAACACUCGUGGCGAAGGCGGGUUCCUGGACAUUAACUGACGCUGAGGCACGAAGGCCAGGGGAGCGAAAGGGAUUAGAUACCCCGGUAGUC
rnacentral:rRNA from 1 species